AUUGAACGCUGGCGGCAGGCCUAACACAUGCAAGUCGAAUGGUAACAGGAAACAGCUUGCUGUUUCGCUGCCGAGUGGCGGACGGGUGAGUAAUGUCUGGGAAACUUCCUGAUGGAGGGGGAUAACUACUGGAAACGGUAGCUAAUACCGCAUAACGUCGCAAGACCAAAGAGGGGGACCUUCGGGCCUCUUGCCAUCAGAUGUGCCCAGAUGGGAUUAGCUAGUAGGUGGGGUAACGGCUCACCUAGGCGACGAUCCCUAGCUGGUCUGAGAGGAUGACCAGCCACACUGGAACUGAGACACGGUCCAGACUCCUACGGGAGGCAGCAGUGGGGAAUAUUGCACAAUGGGCGCAAGCCUGAUGCAGCCAUGCCGCGUGUAUGAAGAAGGCCUUCGGGUUGUAAAGUACUUUCAGCGGGGAGGAAGGGAGUAAAGUUAAUACCUUUGCUCAUUGACGUUACCCGCAGAAGAAGCACCGGCUAACUCCGUG
rnacentral:rRNA from 1 species